UACAGAGGGUGCAAGCGUUGUUCGGAAUUACUGGGCGUAAAGCGUGCGCAGGCGGUUGUGCAAGACAGAUGUGAAAUCCCCGGGCUUAACCUGGGAAUUGCAUUUGUGACUGCACGGCUAGAGUGUGUCAGAGGGGGGUAGAAUUCCACGUGUAGCAGUGAAAUGCGUAGAUAUGUGGAGGAAUACCGAUGGCGAAGGCAGCCCCCUGGGAUAACACUGACGCUCAUGCACGAAAGCGUGGGGAGCAAACAGG
rnacentral:rRNA from 1 species